rnacentral:lncRNA from 1 species
UUCAGAGACGUGGGAACAACGCAAGUCCCACUUACAACACUUAAGAACAUUCUCAUGAUGACCGUUGAACUGGAAAAACUGCUGUAGUUCCUCACUGAAUAUUGGUUGAAGACUUCAUUGGCUUACUACCUGGACUUCUCCACACACUGCCUGAAUGUCCUCCCCACAUAGCUAGAGUGAAUGAACUAAAAAAGAGAGAGAACACACACAGCCCAGGCUGGAGUGCAAUGGCAGGAUCUUGGCUCACCGC